AACGAACGCUGGCGGCAUGCCUAACACAUGCAAGUCGAACGAGACCUUCGGGUCUAGUGGCGCACGGGUGCGUAACGCGUGGGAACCUGCCCUUAGGUUCGGAAUAACUCCCCGAAAGGGGUGCUAAUACCGGAUAAUGUCUUCGGACCAAAGAUUUAUCGCCUUUGGAUGGGCCCGCGCUGGAUUAGCUAGUUGGUAGGGUAAAAGCCUACCAAGGCGACGAUCCAUAGCUGGUCUGAGAGGAUGAUCAGCCACACUGGGACUGAGACACGGCCCAGACUCCUACGGGAGGCAGCAGUGGGGAAUAUUGGACAAUGGGCGAAAGCCUGAUCCAGCAAUGCCGCGUGAGUGAUGAAGGCCUUAGGGUUGUAAAGCUCUUUUACCCGGGAUGAUAAUGACAGAACCGGGAGAAUAAGCUCCGACUAACUCCGUG
rnacentral:rRNA from 1 species